AUUGCAAGAGCCAGGCACUUGAGGGAAGAAAAUAACAUAUUUUUCCAAAUUCCAAAAGCUUUUCUUUAAAUAUUCAGUACUACAGCUUGGAGGACUGAGUAUAAUUUUUUCCUAUAAAUUAAAAAGUUAGAAGAAUGUAGGAUACGACAAAUUCAAUUUCCUACCACACAGGAAGGCGAUCUCAAACUUUCUCAACGAGGACGUGGAGUUUGUGGGGAGAGGAGAGAGAGAGCAAGAUAAAGCAAAGGAGCCCGGGAGAAGAACACAAUAAAUUAUAUUCAAAUGGCAGCCAUGGAGGAAACUUUCCUUCCCUUCCUCAUCAACAAAGCUGAUCGAUGGGCGCUGAAGCCCCAGGGAAGCAGCAUCUGUUGUAACUCAAGGAUUCCUACUCGAGCUGAGGAUGAAAUUAACAGACGCAGAGCAGUUUGCAGCUCAGCAUUUGUUCAAGUCUGGCACAUGCACACAUCAUUAGCAACUAUAUUUGAGAACCAAGAUCAAGGAGGUGAGGAGGAGAGUGGAUCUGAUUGAAGGGAUAUUCAAGAAAGAGGAAAUUCAGAGCAUUUAGGUAAAGCUUCAUAGCUAAAAUAAAUGAACUGGAGAGCAGAGCAAAUAGCCAGGUACAUUUCGGAGUUGUCGACAGACAAUCUGGAUAAUUUUGCCUCUGCAACUUCCAAAACAAAGUCAUUGCAUGCAGUGAAUUCCCCAGAGUGGCUGCCUCUUUUACUUGGUUCUGUGGGCUGUCUCUCUAUUAAUGUGAAGGCUUCAUGAGGGCAAAGAUUUUGCUGUCCUGUUAGCUACUGUAAUCUGGGCUUACCGUAGAUAAAAUUAAAUAUUCAUGGAAUAAGUCAAUGUAUACUUGCUCAAAGCUUGCCUUGACCUGAGCUAAGCAGAUAAGGUCUGAGGUGUUCAGCAGGAAUCAAAAGUGAUAAGCAUACUGGAAGAAAGGUAUCAUCUAACUAAAACUGAUUAUUAAUUACGGCG
rnacentral:lncRNA from 1 species